rnacentral:misc_RNA from 1 species
GGAAAUAAUAGCCGUUACUUAUUUAAAGCCAUGAAUUGUUACUUCAAGUAGCUCCAUCUUAUUUGUGAUGUAUAUUUUAAGUACAAAUUGAAUGCCAUUGUAAAUUACUAACUUAGUUAAACAAAUAAGCUUCAUAUAUAUAAGAAAUAGUGCAUUUCAACUGUUGUAAUGCGAGGGAUAAAAAAUUUUGAGAUAAUGCUAUGCCUGCCUGCCAUUUUGUCAAAAACUAUGUCUAACAAAGUACUGAGCAUUUGAUUAGUUCGGUUUUGAAUGACUGAACCAAACUAACUGAAAAACUGAACUUAUCUUUUAUGGAAAUCGAUCCAAACUAAA